rnacentral:rRNA from 1 species
GAUGAACGCUGGCGGCGUGCCUAAUACAUGCAAGUCGAGCGAACGGACGAGAAGCUUGCUUCUCUGAUGUUAGCGGCGGACGGGUGAGUAACACGUGGAUAACCUACCUAUAAGACUGGGAUAACUUCGGGAAACCGGAGCUAAUACCGGAUAAUAUUUUGAACCGCAUGGUUCAAAAGUGAAAGACGGUCUUGCUGUCACUUAUAGAUGGAUCCGCGCUGCAUUAGCUAGUUGGUAAGGUAACGGCUUACCAAGGCAACGAUGCAUAGCCGACCUGAGAGGGUUAGCGGCCACCGUGGACCAGGGACAGGGCCAGGACUCGAGGGGGGGGCAGGAGUGGGGAUUUGUCCGAAAGGGGCGAAACCCAGAAGGAGCACCGCCGGGUGAGUGAUGAGGGUCUUGGGGUGGAAAAACUUUGUUAUGAGGGAAAAAAAUAUUUGUAAGUACCUGUGCACAUUUGGGCGGCACCGAAGCAGAAGGCCGCGGCAAACUACG